rnacentral:rRNA from 1 species
AGCAUAGAGAGCUUGCUCUCUGAUGGCGAGUGGCGAACGGGUGAGUAAUAUAUCGGAACGUGCCUAGUAAUGGGGAACAACUAAUCGAAAGAUUAGCUAAUACCGCAUACGACCUACGGGUGAAAGCAGGGGAUCUUCGGACCUUGCGUUAUUAGAGCGGCCGAUAUCUGAUUAGGUAGUUGGUAGGGUAAAAGCCUACCAAGCCGACGAUCAGUAGCUGGUCUGAGAGGACGAUCAGCCACACUGGAACUGAGACACGGUCCAGACUCCUACGGGAGGCAGCAGUGGGGAAUUUUGGACAAUGGGGGCAACCCUGAUCCAGCCAUUCCGCGUGAGUGAAGAAGGCCUUCGGGUUGUAAAGCUCUUUCGCAAGAGAAGAAAUCUUAUCGUCUAAUAAACGAUAAGGAUGACGGUAUCUUGACAAGAAGCACCGGCUAACUAUGUGCCAGCAGCCGCGGUAAUACAUAGGGUGCAAGCGUUAAUCGGAAUUACUGGGCGUAAAGCGUUCGCAGGCUGUUUUACAAGUCAGAUGUGAAAUCCCCGAGCUCAACUUGGGAACUGCGUUUGAAACUGUAAGACUAGAGUGUGUCAGAGGGGGGUAGAAUUCCACGUGUAGCAGUGAAAUGCGUAGAUAUGUGGAGGAAUACCAAUGGCGAAGGCAGCCCCCUGGGAUAACACUGACGCUCAUGAACGAAAGCGUG